CGGGGAUUAGCUCAGCUGGGAGAGCGCCUGCUUUGCACGCAGGAGGUCAUCGGUUCGAUCCCGUUAUCCUCCA
rnacentral:tRNA from 1 species